GAACCUGCGGAGGGAUCAUUACACAAUUUAAAAUAUGAAGGCUUCGGCUGGAUUAUUUUUUAUCACCCUUGUCUUUUGCGCACUUGUUGUUUCCUGGGCGGGUUCAAAACGCCACCAGGACCACACCAUAAACCUUUUUUAUGCAGUUGCAAUCAGCGUCAGUAUAACAAAUGUAAAUCAUUUACAACUUUCAACAACGGAUCUCUUGGUUCUGGCAUCGAUGAAGAACGCAGCGAAAUGCGAUACGUAGUGUGAAUUGCAGAAUUCAGUGAAUCAUCGAAUCUUUGAACGCACAUUGCGCCCUUUGGUAUUCCAAAGGGCAUGCCUGUUCGAGCGUCAUUUGUACCCUCAAGCUUUGCUUGGUGUUGGGCGUCUUUUGUCUUUGGCUUCGCCCAAAGACUCGCCUUAAAACGAUUGGCAGCCGGCCUACUGGUUUCGCAGCGCAGCACAUUUUUGCGCUUGCAAUCAGCAAAAGAGGACGGCACUCCAUCAAGACUACAUUUUUACGUUGACCUCGGAUCAG
rnacentral:rRNA from 1 species